rnacentral:lncRNA from 1 species
CACAGUUUCCAUGUUGCCAGUAGCAAGAUGAGUUACUUCACCUAUUAGCUGGCAAAUGAAAUGCCAGGUGGAAGCAAAGUGUUGAAACACAGAAAUAGAUGCAUCCCCACCCUGAGGGGUGAUGAAAGACUUGGAAGAGGCCUUCACAGGCACUUGGCACAUGCACGGGAGAGCUGACUCACGACCCAGGCCAAUAACCUCUGACUGGAUCCCGGGCGUACCUCGUUCUUCACCACCUCCCUGCCCAGGAAACAGACUAUCUCCUCCCCUCAGAAGAACCAUUCAUCCUGUAAUCCUCAAGACACAAGUUAAUUAAGAC